UGAUGGACCAACGAGUCAGAGGCAAGAUAACUGAAAGCCUCUGUCCCCACUGUCUUCCGAGAGCUGUGGUUUGACCAGGCAGCCCCCUAUGCCUCUUCCAGACUCAGGCUUCUCUCUGCUUCUGCAGUUUCUCCAGGACUCUUCAUGUUCUCCCUCAUUGACAAAGGGCAGUGGAUUUCUGGAAAUCUAUUUUCAGUAGACUUCAGUAACUCAAUUUUACCUAUCCACACUGUGUGGUAUAGUAUCAUCAUGUAAAAAUCAGAAGCAUCAAAAAUCAGACAAACCUAGACUCACUCCUCAAUUCUUUUACCAGGUGAAUGAAAAAGUGAUUAUUUUAUAAAAGGAAUGCUAGUUAGCAUUCCUGGGAGAAGUGAGUCUCUAUGGCUUGCCCUUUUGAAACUGGUUUCCAAACAAAAUGCAUACUCAUGAAUAUUUAUUGAUCAUAAAAGUUUGGCAGAUUAGAGCAGAAGAAGGGUAGCAUGAGGAGUACCAACUCUUAAACCUGAGGACUCAUGUCUGCACUACACCUUAUACAACAGUGUCUGUGAAAUGGUUAAAGAGUAAAAACCCAAUCUGUUGCAGCCAGAAAGGAGUACUCCACCUAUUACACAGCAAGGCCAAUAGAUUGCUUGUUAUUUUAAGUGUUAUUUAAAUUAUCUCCCUAGGGAAGAUAAUUUUCAGCUGCCUCUCCAUCUUCUUAAAGAAGAGCAGAAUUUAACACAUCUCGUCUUUGUGAAAAACAAAGACACUGAAGCAAUGGUCAGAAAGAAAAGGAAUAAAGACAAAGUCAAGGAAAGAGCCAUACAAGGACAGUUAGCAUAAGAUAGUUGUUCUCAAUGUAGGCUAUCCAGAACAGCACUGUCAACCUCACCGCGGAACUUGAAAGAAGUGCAAAUCCUUGAGACUGACUCCAAGUCUACUGAAUCAGAAAUUCUGGGGGUGAAGUCCAUCAAUCUUUGGUUGAACAAAACACAACCAAUCUCACAUUUAUGGAAGUUUCAUAUAUGAAGUCAUAAAAGUCACUAGAAAGGCAAGAAGAACCAGGGAGCUGACAUGUUCCUAGAUCCAGGAGCCACCCAGUGGAUUGACGAUUCUUAUCAUAAUAAGACUUCCUUGAACCAUCCCCCACCCAACCCUUUUCCAGAAAGAGUUGAAGACAAAUCUACAGUGAAUAGGAGGCUGAGGCCACCACACCACAGCUUCCAGUGCAAGUGUCCUUGUGCCCUGGUGCCUGAUAUCCAGCUCCGGCAGCCUAGAAAAUCAGUUAGGCUUUUCAGUCACAGCACCCUCUGUGACAAACGUGUGGAGCACCGCACGACUUCUUCAACCAGCUGGUUUUUCUGGCAUUCGAAUAAAAGUAAAAAUAGAAAACAAAGAGGGAGAAGAAAAGUGACAAGCUGAAACCUGCGAAGAGAAAGAGGACAAGAACCUGUAUGUACCCAGUGGUGUGGAUAAAUCGUUAUGUAUCUGCCUACGCAUUGUCAGAAAUACAGCAGCCUAAGUAGCCAUUCAAGGAAUUUAGAGUAAAGUACCAUGGUCAGAAUUCAAGAUAUAGCCACUACAGGAUCUGAAAUGCCAUCUGUUCCAACCGCACGACAUCCCCAUUCAGCAGGCUCACAAGGCUGGCAUAGACAGGAAGAGGGACCCCUCUGUUGUCCUCUACUCUCUUCUUCAACUGAGCAAUGAGCAGAAGAUUUAAGUUUGGGAUUUUUUCACUAUUUUUCCCAAACGCAUGAACAGGUUCUUCUCAAACUGCAAGAGUCGAUUCAAAAUCCAGACAGCUUUCACCACCCAAGGAUUCAGGGAAGUGUUUAUUUCUUUGUCUCAGAAUCUCUUUAAACAUGGCACCUACAAUGACAAAUUGUAAAUAGCCACGUCCAAUAAGUUUAUGCGUAACCUUACCUGACUUUUCCAUGGAACUCCAUUAUAUAACUAGAAGCAUUUCUCCACAAGCGGAAAAAAAAUGGAACCAGAAGAGAAACAAAGCACAUUUGAGCAUACAAUAAAUAAUGAUAUGAAAUGAACAAGUUGAUCUGGUCUUGAGGGAGGAGGAGGCACAGGAACACAGUAAAGGAACCUAUCUGAGGAGCUGCAGACAUGAACCAACAAAGUGAUUCCUAGGGCAAGAAUCACUUGCAUGCUGAUAAAAGCCAGGGAGGCUCAGAGAAGCUAGAAACAACUGGAUCAUCAACACAAACUACUGCACUCCACUGGAAUUGAACAAAGACCUUUGCUGAAAUGCCCUAGCCAGCAAGAAAUGGUAACAUUCAGAUGAGAGAUGACCUUCAAGCAAGUACUGGUUAGAGGUAAAGAAACUGAAGCACAAACAAGUUGGGUAAGCUGCACAAGUUUACAAAGAUAUUUAGAAAUUGCAUCAAGAAUGUCCUGGCAUUCAGACUAAUGCAUAGAAGAGCCUAGAUCAAGGAUGGUUAGCUACAACUGAAAAUAUGAGAAGAAGAAGGAAUGAUUGCAUUAUUUUCCAAAUAUUCCAUUUAAGCUGAAGCUCUGCAUACAAAGCAAAAUGGAGAAUUGGAGCAGAAGAGAGUACUUUAAACUAAGUUUUCUUCAAAAUAGUCUCAAAAUUGUGGUCAAAAUGUUUUUUUUUAAUUAUUGUACUUCAAGUUCUGGGAUACCUAUGCAG
rnacentral:lncRNA from 1 species